GGAAAAUAACCAAAGACAGCAAUAGGAUGGAGAAUAACUGGAUUCAGAUUCAGGAGUAUCUGGCAUGUAGAAAGUGUAUGAUGCCAUGGGUCACCUGAUACUACCUAACAAGAGUGAGUUGCUGGAAAAGAAAGAAUGGCUGAAGACUGAGCCCUGGGAACGACAACAUAGAGAGGUUGAAAGGAAGAAAUAGACCAUCAAAGGAGAUUGAGGAGGAGUAACCAGUGAGAAUCACUUGGGUUACCCUGGACCAGACUGGCCCCACCAUUCCCCAGGCCAUGGAAGCUUUGCAGCCCCUCCUCCAACCCUGACCCACCCUCAGUGCUUAAGCUCCUGGAGUUAAGACAC